rnacentral:lncRNA from 1 species
UUGGUGAUGGUGAUGUGUUUGAAGUUCUUACUUUACUGAACGAUUUUGCUUCUUACAAUUAUAUCUAUAAUGAACUUUGCCCAUUAGUAACAGAGAACUAUAUUUGGUAAAAAUUAACAUAAAUUUACCAAAUUAAUGAAAAUUGUUAAAAAUUGACUAUAAAGGGCAAUAACUCCUUAAGGGGUCAAUUGACCAUUUAGGUCAUGUUGACUUAUUUGAGAUCUUACUUUGCUGAACUUAUUGCUGUUUACAGUUUAUCGCUAUCUAUAAUAGUAUUCAAGAUAACCAAAAACGGCAAAAUUUCUUUAAAAUUACCAAUUGGAGGGCAGCAAACCCAACAACCAGUUGUCCAAUUCAUCUGAAAAAUUCAGGGCAGAUAGAUAUUGACUUGAUUAACAAUUUAACUUCUUGUCAGAUUUGC